GCCUCCGUGGCACAAUCGGCUAGCGCGUUCGGCUGUUAACCGAAAGGCUGGAGGUUCGAACCCACCGGGAGCGGCA